CUGACUUGAGCAUUGGAGGGUCUUGCCGGAGCACCCCCAACUCCGGUUUAAACUUCCCUUGUAGGUCCCGACGGCGGUCACGGUCAUCUCGACUCCAGCUUCUCUGACAUCGGUGGAAUUUUGCACCAACAAAAUUGGCGCUAGAAGGAGGGCGCUGUGUCUUCGCAGGACCCUUGUUCUUAAAGGAGCACUCAACGGGACUAUCUCUGGUCAUCUUCUUCAACAUCUUCCUCUUCUUCUCCAGCC
rnacentral:lncRNA from 1 species